ACGAAGGACUGCUGUUAAUGUGCCACUAGCUGCCUUACUGAUUCUUGCUUUCACCACAGUUUCCCAACGAGAAAAAGAGCCCCUGUGUUUGCUUAAGCUGUAGUGUUGGGGCAGCUUUCCCCAUGGCUUUGUGAGAUAAAGAGCCACAACAAGACUCUGCCAGACUGACCUACACCGGAUUGGGCCCAGAUCCCAAACAGGAGGCGGAAGCCUGGCACAGCACGGAGGCAGAAUUAAGGCACCUGAGCUCCUUCUUGGGUAGGGUGACCACCAGUUUCUAAUUGGGAGGGAUAGUCCCAAAAUGGGAUCAUCAAAUCCCAGGCCUGGGCCGCAUGACUCCAGGACAGCAUUUGUCCCAGAUUUGCAGCACGAUGCAGGGAUCCAGGUUUCCUUUUGCAGGCAGGCAAUGAUCCAGCUUGCAAGCGGCUGCCAGGAGCGAGUGGGCUGCAGGGGGCGCUGCGUGCAUGUCCAUGCCUGCACACAUGCAUGUGGCCAGGAAAGAGCCAGGCAGCCUGGAGAGCGGCUCCCAAUAGGCAAGUCUAUGCGGGCUGAGGGGGAAUGGCGGGGGCAGAUCGAGGUCUCCAUGGUCAGGGAAGGAGCAGGGCAGGGGCUGGAGGCACUGCACAGCCGGGGCAGUGCAUGGGGCCCUGGGGCUAGGAGCAGGACAGUUAUGGGUGGCUUGUCCAGUGGGCAUAGGCGAGGACGGUUCCCCACCACUGCAUGCCCCCUGCAGGACAGCACGGGGGCAUGUGCCCUCCCAGAAUUGUGCAUGGGGUGGGAGUGGAUGUGGGCUGCUUGCUGCUCUUUCCCAGGAAGCCCUGCACUGCCAUAGCAACACACCCUCUGCCCACCAGCAGUCGGGGUGGUGACAGCGGCAUGGAAUAGUGUCACUCACUGCUGCCAGGUUGGUAGGGGAUGCACAGCUGGCAUGGGGCUCCUCGGGGAAGGGCAGCAGGGCAAGGAGCCCUGAGCCUGCAGCAGGCAGCCCGGAUCUGCCCCCUACCCCACUCUGCUCUGGUCUGGCUGUGCAGCUGGAGGGUUGGGGGGGCAUGUGUCCCUCCUUCCAGUUUGGAAAAGGUGGUUACCCUAUUCCUGUGUGUGGCUUUAGCUGACUGUUGCCAUGUUGAAUGGCUUCCCUAUUCAGACCCUCCACCCUCCUGUCAUGGAUUCCUUCUGCUGUUCUCCUCAGGAAUAUUAUGGUAGGUCCUGGAACCUGCUGAAACUAGAGCCAAGCCCAACAUACACACAUCCAGCCUCCUCCCUGAAGACUGCAUGGUCCAAAAAGACAAGAGGGGAGGGGAAACUGUCCAGAGAAGUGAAGUGCUAAUCUGAGGCAGCACAGCUGGUCCAUGGCACAGCCCUACAUAGAGCUCAGCUUUCCAAAGGCCCAGCUUUGGUCAAGAAGCUGUUGGUUGCUGAGAUACUGGGGGACUAACAGACACCAGUGGUUUCCCAGACAUUUACCUCCUCCUGCCAGAUUGAUUUAGUCAUGCAUAGAUGAUACGGCAGUGCAGCCCCUUGGAUGUGGAGGCUGAUGUGACAAAUACCGGACAAAGAGACCCCGAUGAUACAGUAGAUUUCUGAACCUACGAUAGUGUGGCAUAACUAGAGUGUUCAUGGGAAUGGUUGUAUGGACUGGAACGACGAGACCAAGAAACUUGCCAGAAACUUAGCCUGGGGAUGACUUUCUAAGAGUUGGCAACAAGCCUCCUGUUGCUGUGGCCCAUUGCUCUCCAUAUCUGAGUUAUCUGGCUGUGGCUAGGCUGGGCACAUCUACAUCAGCUGAAGUCAUACAUUACUUCAGCUUAACGGAGAAGCGGGGGAGACCUUAUUCUGGCUUGGCUGAUUUUGAAGUUAGCAGUUGUCAUCAACCUUUCAUUCGCUUGGUGCCUUCUAGCAAGUUUAGCUUAUGAAUUUUCUCCUAGGUUUGCAGUAAGGUUUUAAUGUGUGUUCACCUUGGUAUUACUAUUACGUAUGCAUUCCUGGCAGGAAGUUCUCAGAUCAUCUUUAGGGAUUUAGCUGUAUUUAUACAGCCUGUUUGUGAUGCAUUUUUAGUUUCUCAUGGUUUAAUAGUUAUGAAAGUUGCUUGAAAUAAGUCCAGACAUCCUCACUUGUGAGAUAACAAGUCUUCCAACCUCAGAAUAGUUGGAAUAAUAGAGAAAUUUCAAUCAAUUUCUCAGAGUCCCUUAAAAUUUAAAUUGCCAUGUGAAAAGGCAUUGUCUCUUAACAGUCCGUCCAUGUUUUUUAAGGAAGUGGCUGAAGCAUUGCCAGAUAAAUAAUUAAAUUCUUGUAUUAAUAUUGUAUACUCAAAUGGCUUUUUGUAUUGCUAUUUGGUCUAGCAAGAUUCUUGAAUUUCAUGUUGGUACACAAAACUUCAUCCCACUUACAUGAGAAUGGCAUUAGGAUGCUAUUUUACUCAAAACCUUGCAUUUCAAUAUUUGAAAAAAUAUGUCUCCAAAAGAAGCAAAUGCCAUUCUCAAGCAAUUAAGGGAAAUAGAGCUUUGAAAGAGAAUGAAAGAUAGAUAGUAGUAACAUGUGACUUAGUAUGAAGGCUUAAAGAAGAAAUUACUAUUCUUAAUGAAAGUAACUUUUAUUAUUCAACUUUUUUACAUUAGUAUCUUCUGUCUACAAAGGGAGUAGGUAACAUAAAGCUUAGAGUUUGGUAAAUCUAAUACAUCCCUGCUUCUAAACACAAGAGCUUUUAAAAUCAGGACUCUUGCCUAAGUUGAGGUAAACUAUCUUUGUACUGGACCGACUUUCUAGAGUGCAUGCAUUUUUGAAAGAAUUGCACCUUAUUCUUGGAGAACUGUUGGUAUUGGUUAUAUUUGAAUGAAAAUGGCCAUUGGAUUUAUGACCUGCUAUUUGCAGCGUAGUUAUAACUGGCAACUAAAGACCUCUCUUAAAUAUUUUAUAAAAAGCACAGAUCCCAAAAAUCGAUGCUGUGAUCUGGAAAAUGUAUACAAGCAGAAGAGAAAAUGAUAUCAAAAGAUUCCUUUUAAAACUGCCUUGCAGAGUCUGAUUAAGCCCACAGUUGAUAUUUUAUGACAAUGGCAUAAUUGUCUUUAACACUUGAGGCUUGUCUUCGGGUGCAAAAAACCAGACAGCUCUCUGAAUUUGUUUAGUUAAGUCUGAACAUCUCAUAAGCAUGAGCUAUAUUGAGGGUAUAAAAUAAUUAUAGUUAUCUCUCAGAUUCACUAAUGGCACAGGAAAACUUAUAAAGAGCUGACAUUAUAAGAAUAUUUAUUAGAAUUUUAACCAUUUGUGCAUCAGUACUGAGGUUUCCCGGUUACACAAAUUGCCAAUUGCUUAAAUCAUGAGUGAGACCUUAUGAGGGUUGAUAAGGAAAGAUGCCAUGUUUAUUGAUUAAGCGCUUAAUACACACACACACCCCACAUUCAUUUCAUACCCCAAUUUCUAUUCAGCACUGGUAUACAUUACCAGUCUUAUCAGUACUUGGAUCAACUUAGUGGCCAGCCAAGUUGAUCACGAGUAGCAGCCAGGCUCCAUCUCAUCAGACGAACCCAUGCUUCAGAAUGACAUGCAGAACAAGACCUAAAAUUGAUAUGUCUCACUUCAUCUUUUAUAGCUUUGUCAAUUCACCCAGUCCUCUGGGCUUUGCUAUGUUAUUCCUUGAAGGUCUAUUGCCGUUGUUCUCUCACUGUUCUGGGGCAGAUUCUUCUUGUUUUGGUCUUUUAUCUGUCUACAUUCGUCAUCCAGUUGCCAGCUGAGGUUUUCCUUUUUCACAGACACACUCUCAGCCAUUCUCUCACACAUACAGCAUACAAAGGUCAAAUGCUUAUGUCAAGUUACAGAGCAAUACAAAAUGGAGUUUCUUAAGGCAAUGCAAAACUCAAGAAAAUACAUAAGAUUAAAAGCAACUGGCAAAAGUCUAUUUGUAUAAUAUUCCCUUCCUUGAUCCUUCAAAACAUUUUGUUUUGAAUGGAUCACUGUAUAGUUUUUACAAGGCUAUAUAUUGUAAAGCAAUUAAAGCAUGUGAUUUGAAUUUAAAAUAUGUAUAUGUUUCAUCCAACACACAUACAACACAUUACAGUCAACAUUAUUCCAGCUAAUAUAGAAAAGAUGAUAAUAGACUGUAACAUAGCAUUUAGGACCAUCAUCCAUGAUGAUGACCAUCCCUUGAAAAUAUCAUACCAAUGGUGUAUCAUCAUUUGUCUAGCUUGUUCAGAUACUCUCAGAAUUUCUGAACCUUGGUGCAAAAUAGUUAUAGUACACAGUUGAUUUUGUUCUCAUGUUGUAGUAGUAAGAUAGCUAAUUUGUGAAUUCUUUUGUUACCAAUAAGUUAAGGUAGUCCAAUUGAUUCCUAAAGAGAAAUGGAAAUCAAUUAAAUUAUUCCAUCUCCGGGGAUGAUUUCUUUUAAGAUGCUUGUGCAAUUCAAAAUGCUCAAAAGAAAAGUAACAAAAACAUAACAAUAUGCUAAUAAAUCUUAACAAAGCAAAAAGCAAUAAGCAAAGCUAAGUCAAAAUAUCCAGGGUUCGUGCCAUGCAGUUUCUAGCAUCAUGUGCAGCCUCUAUAUAUGUAUGUUAAAUAAUCGGUCACGUUUGAUUCAUGACACACAAAUACAUUUAAAAAAAUAGAAGAACACAACAACAAAUACAAAUUAACACUGGUUCUCCUUCAUCAGUAUUUAACAGCCACUGGUCUUGUAGUCCAUCAGUGUCAUUUGGCAUCCUGUGGCUUUCAAAUAAAUUUAAUACAUAUAAUUUUAUACAACACUGAAUAACUUGAACUGAAAUACAUGUACCCAUUUUGAUUCAUCUUCCCAAUUGUAUUUCAUAUACCACAGACUAAGACAGUUAAUGAUAAACACCAGUCCAAUUCACUUGGAAUCCAAAGUAUUUUUUUCCCCAGUUAUAAAUAUAUAACUUGAUCAUAAAAAUGUGUUGCCAAUCUUUUAUUUCUGUAUUUUCCCCUGCAUUUGUUGAAUGACUUUGUUCAUUUGUAUUUGAAGGAUUACCUUGUUCUCUUUUUAAUUGUGCCAACCAUUUAUAUAUGUUUGUGUAGUGGUUUCUCCCACAUCAUUAAACUGAUCCAUAUCCAUCACCAACUUCAUGGGUCUCCCCUCCUUUGAUGAAACAGUGAUUGGGACUCAGAAGGUCAGAUCUCUUCUUUUGCACAUUGGACAUGAUUAGGUAUCCAGGGUUUCACAUCAUUUUACAUACUCGUUCAUUCUGUAUUUUGUUUUAAUCAAUAAAGAAUUUCCUUUACUUCUUUAUACAAA